CAGUAAUGAAGCAAGACCCUCUCCUUGUAUUGACACAUCAGAUUUUUAGAUUCAUAUUAGAGUGACAUGUCAAUAAAUGAAAAAACUUUUUAAACCACUCAGAACAUUUUGUUUCUCCACCUCAGAAAUCUUUCUACGCUCUCUUCUUCGACAUUGUGCUCUCGUGCAAUCAGAAACUUCAUUCAAUCUCCCCUUUUUCAAUUUGACCUUCUUCGAUCUAUCGGUUCCAUAACCUUCGCUUUGAUUUAUCAAGGCCGACGACGAUCGGUUGAUUUCAUAGCGAAAUCAACACAACUCCUCCUCUCGCAUCUAUACUCAGAACACAAGAGCAACGUUCACAACUCGAUCUAUACUCACAACUCCUCCUCUUUCUUCCUCUCGCAUCUAUGGUUCUUCUCGAUAGAGGCAAUCUAAAAGAGAAAGUCUCAACCUUUUUUUAUUCUGUUUUGCUUUGCCUCUGAUUUGCUUUUGCUUUUGUCUGUUUGUAGUUAUCAAAUACGCUUAUAUGUUCUUUAAAAAUGUAUCUCUAUAUAUUGAUUUAUGCGUGCUAAUGUUUCCCAGGAUCUGUCCAGUGCCGUGGAGAAAUUCAAACUCGGUUCUCUGUACCAGGAAGGAAACAAACGGGUCUUACCUAUUUCCGUGCAGAUGAAAUCCCAAUCUAGGCUUUGGGCAUAAGGAGAAAGCGUACACGGUGCUACUGACACGGAUGAAGAGAUUAGUGGUUGAGGCAAGAGACAGUGUUGUGUCCUAUAUAGUUGCUUAGUGCAAGCUGCAGAAAGAAAAAAAGAAAUGAUAUCCUAUGGUGUGAAGAAGAUAGUGAGAGGUCCGGACCUUUGUUUGCUUACUAAGAUUAAGUAGCAGUCACAUACUUCGUCAAACUGUCCAACAACUCAUUCAUCACCAACUUCAAUUUGAGAGAGUAGCAUUUCAUAACCACGUUUGCAGCUUGCAAAGAGAGGAAGCGAAGAUAGCAGUUUGGAACAAAAUGCACAAGGUUUGGGACACUUGUGAGGAUGAAAGUAGAACCUGCCAUUAGAAAACUCGGUCCUCCUUCACUUAUAUGAAAACUCCCAUAAACCAAUCAAACCAUGAUGAUUGUACUGUUUUUUUCUUUUGCUUGAAUCACAUGUGAAGCUGGAGAAGAAGAAAUGACCAUUACUGGAUAAGAUCUUUUACAAGCUUCAAACAACCAAGUCGAGAGGUCAGGUGGAGUUCAGUAUUCAGUGAUCAUCAACGAGAACAAAAGUUUUGACUAUAGAUCCCUGCAAUAAAACAGUAGCACAAUAUAUAUAUACCAAUAGCUACAACUCAAAAAGUUGAGAAAUGAGAUUCAUGACAUAGUGAUUGGUGUCACGGAAGUUAUUGAGAAACCAGAAUUUAACUCUCA